CCCGGCCCCCGCCACCCCCGCCCCGCCCGGCGGUCGUGGCCCGGGAUGCGGAGCCGGGGGCCGCCGGUGGAGCUGCGCGGGGUGAGAGGCGCGGGGAAGGGGGCUGCCUGCUUCCCUCGCCCUCGUCCCCCACCGGCGGGCCCCGGCAGGAAUUCGGGAGCCGCGCGUCCAGGCCCUCUUAGCGCCCUGACAUUUGGGGGCGAUCGGUGAACCCGUCGCCCUACCCCCACCCGGCCCCGCCUGGACAGCUGAAUCAGAGGGGACGACCCUGCCCUUUUAAGGAGGCUUUUUCUCGCUCCUGCGGAGGGCCCCCCAGCUAUGGCCCCCAGGAGCCCCCCAGAACCCGCAGGGACUUCCCCCGAUCCUGGCCGCCGGGGCCCGCCCUCUGCAUCCCGCGGGCAGCCUGUGUGAAGCGGCCUCCCGCAGCCCCCGGCCCCUCCCCCAUGGAGGAGGAGGUGGGGGGGGCGGCCAAGGAGUGGGGCGCGACCCCCGCGGGGCCCGUCUGGACCGCUGUGUUCGACUACGAGGCGGCGGGCGACGAGGAGCUGACCCUGCGGAGGGGCGACCGCGUCCAGGUGCUUUCCCAGGACUGGGCCGUGUCCGGCGACGAAGGCUGGUGGACCGGGCGGCUACCCAGCGGCCGCGUGGGCGUCUUCCCCAGCAACUACGUGACCCCCGGCCCCCCCGCCGCGCCCGCGGGCCUGCAGCUGCCCCAGGAGAUCCCCUUCCACGAGCUGCAGCUCGAGGAGAUCAUCGGGGUAGGGGGCUUCGGCAAGGUCUAUCGGGCCCUGUGGCGUGGCGAGGAGGUGGCCGUCAAGGCCGCCCGGCUGGACCCUGAACGGGACCCGGCAUUGACAGCAGAGCAGGUGCGCCAGGAGGCCCGGCUCUUCGGAGCCCUGCAGCACCCCAACAUCAUUGCCCUCAGAGGCGCCUGCCUCAGCCCCCCACACCUCUGCCUGGUGAUGGAGUAUGCCAGGGGGGGCGCGCUGAGCAGGGUGCUGGCGGGUCGCCGGGUGCCCCCUCACGUGCUGGUCAACUGGGCCGUGCAGGUGGCCCGGGGCAUGAACUACCUACAUAAUGAUGCCCCUGUGCCCAUCAUCCACCGGGACCUCAAGUCCAUCAACAUCCUUAUCCUGGAGGCCAUCGAGAACCACAACCUCGCAGACACGGUGCUCAAGAUUACGGACUUUGGCCUCGCCCGCGAGUGGCACAAGACCACCAAAAUGAGCGCUGCGGGGACUUACGCCUGGAUGGCUCCGGAGGUCAUCCGUCUCUCCCUCUUCUCCAAAAGCAGUGACGUCUGGAGCUUCGGGGUGCUGCUCUGGGAGCUGCUGACAGGGGAGGUCCCCUACCGUGAAAUCGACGCCUUGGCCGUGGCAUAUGGCGUGGCUAUGAACAAGCUGACGCUGCCCAUCCCCUCCACCUGCCCCGAGCCCUUUGCCCGCCUACUGGAGGAAUGCUGGGACCCAGACCCCCACGGGCGGCCAGAUUUCGGCAGCAUCUUGAAGCAGCUGGAGGCCAUCGAGCAGUCGGCCCUGUUCCAGAUGCCGCUGGAGUCCUUCCACUCGCUGCAGGAGGACUGGAAGCUAGAGAUCCAGCACAUGUUCGAUGACCUCCGCACCAAGGAGAAGGAGCUGCGGAGCCGCGAGGAGGAGCUGCUGCGGGCGGCGCAGGAGCAGCGCUUCCAGGAGGAGCAGCUGCGGCGGCGGGAGCAGGAGCUGGCCGAGCGCGAGAUGGACAUCGUGGAGCGCGAGCUGCACCUGCUCAUGUGCCAGCUGAGCCAGGAGAAGCCGCGGGUCCGCAAACGCAGGGGCAACUUCAAGCGCAGCCGCCUGCUCAAGCUGCGGGAAGGCGGCAGCCACAUCAGCCUGCCCUCCGGCUUUGAGCAUAAGAUCACUGUCCAGGCCUCUCCAACCCUGGAUAAGCGGAAAGGAUCCGACGGGGCCAGCCCCCCCGCGAGCCCCAGCAUCAUCCCCCGGCUGAGGGCCAUUCGCCUGACCCCCGUGGAUGGUGGUGGCGGCGGCAGCAGUGGCAGCAGCAGUGGUGGCAGUGUGACAUGGGGCCGCAGCGGGCCCCCAAAGAAGGAAGAGCUGGUUGGGGGCAAGAAGAAGGGCCGCACGUGGGGGCCCAGCUCCACCCUGCAGAAGGAGCGGGCUGGAGGAGAGGAGAGGCUGAAGGCCCUGGGGGAAGGGAGCAAACAGUGGUCAUCGAGCGCCCCCAACCUGGGCAAAUCCCCCAAACACACCCCCAUCGCCCCUGGCUUCGCCAGCCUCAAUGAGAUGGAGGAGUUCGCGGAGGCGGCGGGCGGCGGCAGCGUGCCCCCCUCCCCGUACAGCACCCCGGCCUACCUCACGGCGCCGCUGCCGGCCGAGCGCUCCCCGGGGCCGCCCCCCGCGCGACCCGCGCCCGGCGGCCGGCGGCGCUGCGAGUUGGCCCUGCUGGGCUGCGCCUCGCUGCUGGGCGCCGUGGGCCUGGGCGCCGACCUGGCCGAGGCGCGCGCCGCCGACGGCGAGGAGCAGCGGCGCUGGCUCGACGGGCUCUUCUUCGCCCGCGCCGGCCGCGGCCCGCCCGCCCGCUCCCCGGGCCGCCGCGACGACCCCGGCCCGGGCCUGGCGCCCUCGGCCACCCUCGUGUCGCUGUCGUCCGUGUCCGACUGCAACUCCACGCGCUCGCUGCUGCGCUCCGACAGCGACGAGGCCGCGCCGGCCGCGCCCUCCCCGCCGCCCUCCCCGCCCGCGCCCAGCCCCAACCCCCUGGUGGACCUGGAGUUGGAGAGCUUCAAGAAGGACCCCCGCCAGUCGCUCACACCCACCCACGUCACGGCCGCGCGCGCCGUGAGCCGCGGGCACAGGCGGACGCCGUCGGACGGGGCGCUGGGGCAGCGGGGGUCGCCCGAGCCCGCGGGCCCCGGCCCUGGCCCUCGAGACCCCCUGGACUUUCCUCGCCUGCCCGACCCCCAGGCCCUGUUCCCAACCCGCCGCCGGCCCCCCGAGUUCCCUGGCCGCCCCACCACCCUGACCUUCACCCCGAGACCCCGGCCUGCCGCCAGCCGCCCCCGCCUGGACCCCUGGAAACUGGUCUCCUUUGGCCAGACACUCAGCAUCUCGCCUCCCAGCAGGCCGGACAGUCCGGAGAGCCCCGGGCCCCCCAGCGUGCAGCCCACGCUGCUUGACAUGGACAUGGAGGGGCAGAGCCAGGACAGCACCGUGCCCCUGUGCGAGGCCCAGGGCUCCCGCUGAGGCCACCGCCCGCCGGGGCAGCCUUGAAUGUAGCGCCCCAGGCCCCGCCGCGGCCCGCCAGGCCCAGGCGGGAGGCCCUGGGCAGGAUACCCGCUCUAUUUAUUGGGGAAGGGGGGAGGGGGGACACUUAAUUUAUUCCUUUGUACCCCAGGGGGUGGGGCCCUGCGCCCGCCCUGCAGCGGGGGGAGGGGGGCCGGGACACUCAGGGACAGGGCAUCGCGGGGGAUUUGGCACAAAUGCAGCAUUAAAGGUAGCCCCUGCCCCCUA